GUGCUCGCUUUGGCAGCACGUAUACUAAAAUUGGAACGAUAUAGAGAUUAACGUGACCCCUGCACAAGGAUGACAUGCAAAUUCAUGAAGCGUUACAUAUUAAA